rnacentral:rRNA from 1 species
AAAUUGAAGAGUUUGAUCAUGGCUCAGAUUGAACGCUGGCGGCAGGCCUAACACAUGCAAGUCGAGCGGCAGCGGAAAGUAGCUUGCUACUUUGCCGGCGAGCGGCGGACGGGUGAGUAAUGUCUGGGAAACUGCCUGAUGGAGGGGGAUAACUACUGGAAACGGUAGCUAAUACCGCAUAACGUCGCAAGACCAAAGAGGGGGACCUUCGGGCCUCUUGCCAUCAGAUGUGCCCAGAUGGGAUUAGCUAGUAGGUGGGGUAA